rnacentral:rRNA from 1 species
UACGGGGGGAGCAAGCGUUGUUCGGAUUUACUGGGCGUAAAGGGCGCGUAGGCGGUCGUGACAAGUCACUUGUGAAAUCUCCGGGCUUAACUCGGAACGGUCAAGUGAUACUGUCGGACUAGAGUACAGAAGGGGCAACUGGAAUUCUCGGUGUAGCGGUGAAAUGCGUAGAUAUCAGGAGGAACACCAACGGCGAAGGCAGCUCGCUGGGACGGUACUGACACUGAGGCGCGAAAGCGUGGGGAGCGAACAGG